UUAUGAGAAGUAAUUAAUGAAGUAGUAGGUGGCGCUGCAGAAUUCCGUGCAUAUAUCAUGGUAUACAUUUUCUCCAUUAUUGCGGCUUCCUCCUCCACUUAUAGCAACAAUUAAUUUUGACAUUUAAAUACAUAAAAAAAAGUCAAUCAAUAACCUCCUACCCCGUAUGAACGGAUCACGAUGAUUUUCCUCUUUGUUUCCUUUCCCUUCAAAUCCACUAUAUAAUGAACCUAUUCGCUCAAAAUAUCUAUGUAUUAGAUGUUUGUUGCUAAGUUCAUUCAACCACUAAUCUUUCUUCAAUUAUUCUAGCUAGCAACACUCAAAUUGUCCUGCAAUUUUUGUCAUACAUAUACAAGCCAUUGGAAUUAUAAGGAUUCUUCACAAGACUAGAGAUGAGUGAAAGAGCAGGGUUGGAAUUUGAGCUGAGCUUGUCGCCGCCACUGCAGGCUGCAAAUUCUUCAUCGGAGGGUUCAUGUGUGUCUAAUUCUGAAGGUGAUGAUGGAGAGACAACAAAGGACAUGUUUCUGGCAGGCUGUCUUCAUUGCCUUAUGUAUGUUUUUUUAUCAUCAGCUGAUCCUAAUCCCAAAUGCCCCAAGUGCAAGAGUACCGUGUUGGACAUUAUUGACUUCCUUAAUAACAACCAAAACAACAACACCACAAGCAGUAAGCAAUGGAAGGUUUGAGAUCUCCAUCCCCAAACAAUGUCUCAUUUUCUGUUCUGAUUGAGAUGCACACCAUUUAUGACCAAGAAGAUUGAUUACAUGUAUAUUUGCACUUUUUCUAAUUUUCUUUGUUAGUUAUUAAUUAAUUAAUUACAUCUUCCUCUGUGAUUGUUUCUCCAAACAAUUGUUCUCUUUUAAUAGAAUCAUUUUCAAUCAUUUGUAAUUA